AUAGAACAAAACAAUGACGGAAUCGGCUCGUUACCCAAAGCCCAAUUUCUCUUUCUCCUCCUUCCUUUCCUUUCCUCUGUAGAACUUUUUUUAAUUUGCUUUUGAUCAAUUCCUGCCCAGAGCUUGAAGAAUGGGAAAAUGUCGACCUGCAAUUGUGGCCAAACCGUCUCGUAAUGACGGCGUAUCGUCGAAUAGAGCGCUAGACGGAAAAGAGGGUUGGGGAUGAGGUCCCUCAGUUAUAGGGUUUGUGGCAUGCGAGAGCUUCAGCUGUGAACUCGUAUGAAAGCUCCUCCAAUUACGUUAAUGGCAUGGAAAGGCUAAAGUGACACUCAAGAAACUUGCUGGAUCAGAAGGGAAGGGGACGUGGUUGAUGUGCAAGAGCUCUUUGGAUACAUUGGCCUCAUCAAUCUUUAUGAUUUUCAAAUGGAGAGGACUCAUAAUAGCACAUGCUCUUGGGUAUUAUCUUACUUUCCUGGAGUUUCAUCUCUCACAGCAAUGUUUUCCGAUGCAGGGUGGCCGCGGAAUGCCAUGGGACUGAAUCUUCUGUUGAGUUUUCAGACUCGCAAUCCAUUGGGGAAGUUGUGCUGCUAAAUGACUUUGUGAUGGAGGAGUGCUCUUUCAGAUUAUUUUUGGCAUGUAAUAUAUCUGCACAAUAUUUUUGUGGAAAAUUUUAUGUAAAAUUACUAAGUAAGGACCAUUUGAUGUUCCUUUUCAAACGGAUGGAGAUUCCCAAAACUAUGUUGUGUUUUGGAGAAAAUAAAACUUCUUCGUAGAGGUGUAUAGAGGACUGCAGAUUUAUAUAGUAGCGGCGGAAAAAAGCUCACGAAUGCCACUUACAUGAUGAUUUUGUCACGAAAGGUGAUAAACCGUCACAACAUAUGUAAAUCUGUCAUCUUAGAUAAGACUGCCUACUUUCUUCUACUAAUUGAAUUGUUACUCCUGUUUUACUUUGCCA